UAGCAAUUUAGCACCACAAAACUUGGAGUACGAAUCACAACUCACAAGUUCAUAACUCUCUCAGCAGCCACCAUUUUCCCCCCAAGGUAUGGCAACAGAAUCAGAUCCUAGGUCGACGCAGGUGAAGGCCACGCUGCGCCUUGGCUCAGAAUCGUACACCGUUCAGGCGAAUAAAGGUUGUUUAUCAGAGCAACUGGUUUCACUGAAAGAGGAAAGUAUGAGCAUAUUGAAGGAGUUCAUAACAAAACAUAACAUCCCUCAAGAUGUCCCUGAUGAGCCAUUAGAAUCUUCUUCAGAAGAUGAUGAUGAUACACCUGAGAAACCUCAAGUGAAGUCUAAGAAGACUAAGUUUACUUAGCUUUUGAAAUUAUUAUGUUAGAAUCUGUAUUGAGUACUUUGACAUUUGAAUUUUGAUUGUGUAUCUUUUAAACAUUUGAUGUGUUUGGUUUAGGAGCUUAUUGUGUGUUUCUGUUUCCCAGUUAUUUGCUGCUGUUUUUAGAAGAUUAAGUGCAAAUAACUUUAGAUUCUAGAACCACAUCCCCACCAGCCACCAACAUUUAACAAGAUCUCUUUGAUUUAUUCAGGAGGAGCUGACAUAAAUGUUAAUUAUUAUUUUUAUUUUACAAAUGUAAAAAACCCUUUCCUUUUAGAAGGUUAUGUUCUUAUGCAAUUAUGUUUGGGUUGAUCAACA